AGGAAGGUGGGGAUGACGUCAAGUCCUCAUGGCCUUUAUGACCAGGGCUACACACGUACUACAAUGGCCGGUACAAAGGGCAGCGACACAGCGAUGUGAAGCGAAUCCCGAAAAGCCGGUCUCAGUCCGGAUUGGAGUCUGCAACUCGACUCCAUGAAGUUGGAAUCGCUAGUAAUCGCGGAUCAGCACGCCGCGGUGAAUACCGGUUCCCGGGCCUU
rnacentral:rRNA from 1 species